AUUCCAGCUCCAAUAGCGUAUAUUAAAGUUGUUGCAGUUAAAAAGCUCGUAGUCGGAUUUUGGCAUCACGCCGAACUGUCUGCCGAUUGGUAAGUACGGUUUGGCGGGUGCUUCCUUCCGGAGGCUCGUUCCCUUCUUCAUUGAAGGGUUCGUUGGUUCCGGGUCUUUUACUUUGAGAAAAUUAGAGUGUUCAAAGCAGGCCUAUGCUCUGAAUAGGUUAGCAUGGAAUAAUAGAAUAGGACUUUGGUUCUAUUUUGUUGGUUUCUAGGACCGAAGUAAUGAUUAAUAGGGACAGUUGGGGGCAUUCAUAUUCCAUUGUCAGAGGUGAAAUUCUUGGAUUAACGGAGGAUGAACUUCUGCGAAAGCAUCUGCCAAGGAUGUUUUCAUUA
rnacentral:rRNA from 1 species